GAGGGGAACUGGACUUGGAGUCACUCUCUCUCUGGAGGUUGAAAACCUGGCUGAAAGACCCUGGUGGGGCUGACUUGGUUUUGGGGUUCUCUGGCUUUGGACAGUUGAAGUUGACAAGAAGGAGAAAUUUGGCUUUUGAGUUGGUGGUCUAUUUGAGAAUUGAGCUGGCCAGGAGAAACUGAGAGUCUUUGAACUUUGUUUUCUCUCUGGGGUUAAGCUGAGAGACCUUGCUGAUUUUAUGAAGAAAAGAAUAAUUUUGGUUUUCAUUGAUCUGGGCUUCAAAAAUGGAACCUCCAGAAAGAAUUCACCUGGAAGGACACUGCAGGGUGAGCAGGCAGCAGGGAUAAUUGCACACUGUUUUUCUAAGCUUAUUUUAAUCUCACAACCCAGGGAAGAUGUUUGAUAUCAAAAUGAGAGACUUUUAGGUGGCCAGAGACCGGUAUGAAGAUACUAAGCACUAAAUGUGGAAACAGGGAGACCCAGAAAGAGCAGUUCAGCAAUAUCUCAUUAUGAUCAAGAGAGCACAAUUUUUUUAGUCUUUCCACAGUCAACAGAUCCUGCUCAGUAGCCAACUGUAAGGCUUUUUGUCAAGAUACACUAAACCAAAGAAAGGAGUUAGAGGCUAUCUACACAUGGUCUACAGUGAAGAGAAAAAAGUCCCCUCCAUAAUCCAUUUCUGAAAGCAGUCUCCCCAAGCUUCCUCUUAAAUAUUGCAGCCCACUGACUGUGGGGUCGGCUUUGUUUCUCUUUUCUCUGCUGGUGUGGCUUCCUACUUAGAUAAACCGUUAUCCACCAAAAAGAAGAGACCCCACUUUCCUGAAUCAAAGGCAUUGCUGCAACACCCAGAUCUAUUCGUCCAGAAAAUAAGUUGGAAGCCUUGGCAUCGUAAAAGCAAAAGAAAAGGUGGCUAACUCAUCACUCAGGAAUGGGCUGGCCGGGACUACGUUCUGUGGCGGGGGUUGCUGCUUCUCCUCUUGUUUUGGCUGUUUUCUUUCUUUAUUAUUAUUACCCUGAAUUUUCUCAUCAGAAGUCCCUGGCACUGUGCAGGUCACACAGGCACACGCACCUGCUUCGUAGAGCCUGAGUAUGUUCCCAAAAGGUCACUAAAAGACUGUCUAGACUUCUUGGUCUUUUAGACCAGGCACAACACAAUCUUUUAGUUGCUGCAGCACCUAAGAAAAGAGACAAAAGAAAAAGAAUUGUCUUGAUACUGCCCUUUCGACUAUGUACGCCCUGCAUCCUUAGCCUGCCUGGAGAAAGGUCUCCAAACACCGAACCUCACCACUUGUCUCUCUGAGAUAGAAGCCAAGUUUGGGGACAGUGAACCCCAAAAGAUGUCUGGUUUCUCAGAAUCCAGACACCCACGUCUGCCUCAGUGGGUUUUAAGUAAAGGGGAAGGCAGUAGAGCAGCACAUUGAGGUAUUCUGACAGAUGGCGGCAGGUAGUGCUGUACCUGGGAGGACCCACAGAAAUAACCGGACCCGGUUGCAGAGGUUGGAUCCUUAUAGCACGGGUGACUCAUUUAUUUUAUUGGUUAAAAUCCUUUUGGAAUUGAAACAAUUUAAAGGAGUAUUUUGUAUAUCACCACCCAUUGCUCACCUCAUCCACGUUUUGCUUUGUUUUGUUUUGUUUUUUCUCAGAAGGAUUUAAUGAGAAAAAGUUGAAUCUCUUGCCUUUGAGUGUUCCUAAAUGCAUCUACAUUUGGGUAUGUCUCUGAGUGUAUGUUGUUCGGUGGGGGUGGGGAGAAGUGGGAACAUUUCCCGAGUAAACAUUGGUGAUUGUAUGCCAGUGUGUGUCUGUGUGCCACCGUGCCUUGCUCACUGCGGAAAAACUAUUCUGUUGUGCUUGGAAACUUCACAAAUAGAUAUUUUUAAACGACUCUAACACAACAUCUGGUUGUGCCUUCAUUUUUGUUUGUCUGGAGC